rnacentral:rRNA from 1 species
GGGAUUGCCCUAGUAACGGCGAGCGAAGCGGCAACAGCUCAAAUUUGAAAUCUGGCUAUUUUGUAGUCCGAGUUGUAAUUUGUAGAGGAUGCUUUUGGUGAGGUGCCUUCCGAGUUCCCUGGAACGGGACGCCAGAGAGGGUGAGAGCCCCGUACGGUUGGAUACCAAACCUUUGUAUAGCUCCUUCGACGAGUCGAGUAGUUUGGGAAUGCUGCUCUAAAUGGGAGGUAUAUCUCUUCUAAAGCUAAAUAUAGGCUAGAGACCGAUAGCGCACAAGUAGAGUGAUCGAAAGAUGAAAAGCACUUUGAAAAGAGAGUUAAACAGCACGUGAAAUUGUUGAAAGGGAAGCGCCUAUGACCAGACUUGUUUCUUUCAGUUUUGUUAGUUUUCGGACUGAUUUACUCUGUUAGUACAGGCCAGCAUCAGUUUGUUGUCAGGGAGAAAGGCUUAGGGAAUGUGGCUCUUUCGGGAGUGUUAUAGCCCUUUGCAUAAUACCUUUCGGCAGACUGAGGACCGCGCUUCGGCAAGGAUGCUGGCGUAAUGGUCAUCAGCGACCCGUCUUGAAACACGGACCAAGGAGUCAACCUUAUGUGCGAGUGUUUGGGUGUAAAACCCCAGCGCGUAAUGAACGUGAACGUAGGUGAGAGCUUCGGCGCAUCAUCGACCGAUUCUGAUGUUCUCGGGAUGGAUUUGAGUAAGAGCACACAGGGUUGGAGCCGAAAGAAAGUGAACUAUGCUUGUAUAGGGUGAAGCCAGAGGAAACUCUGGUGGAGGCUCGCAGCGGUUCUGACGUGCAAAUCGAUCGUCAA